UCCCCUUUAGUUCAGUUGGUAGAACGGCGGACUGUUAAUCCGUAUGUCGCUGGUUCAAGUCCAGCAAGGGGAGCCA
rnacentral:tRNA from 2 species